AUCGGAGAUCCUGACGGAGAAGGGGCCUGUCUGCAAAACUGCGCUAUACCGGUUCAAUUCCGGUCUCCGAUU
rnacentral:tRNA from 1 species